rnacentral:rRNA from 1 species
GAUGAACGCUGGCGGCGUGCCUAAUACAUGCAAGUCGAGCGAACGGACGAGAAGCUUGCUUCUCUGAUGUUAGCGGCGGACGGGUGAGUAAUACGUGGAUAACCUACCUAUAAGACUGGGAUAACUUCGGGAAACCGGAGCUAAUACCGGAUAAUAUUUUGAACCGCAUGGUUCAAAAGUACAAGACGGUCUUGCUGUCACUUAUAGAUGGAUCCGCGCUGCAUUAGCUAGUUGGUAAGGUAACGGCUUACCAAGGCAACGAUGCAUAGCCGACCUGAGAGGGUGAUCAGCCACACUGGAACUGAGACACGGUCCAGACUCCUACGGGAGGCAGCAGUAGGGAAUCUUCCGCAAUGGGCGAAAGCCUGACGGAGCAACGCCGCGUGAGUGAAGAAGGUCUUCGGAUCGUAAAACUCUGUUAGUAGGGAAGAACAUAUGUGUAAGUAACUGUGCACAUCUUGACGUUACCUAAACAGAAAGCCACGGCUAACUACGUG